rnacentral:lncRNA from 1 species
UCGGGUAGUUAUAGUGUGUUAUAGUCGGGUGUUAUAAUGUUAUAGAGCUGUUAUACAGUCAGGGUAGUUAUAAUGUUAUAGUGCUGUUAUACAGUCAGGGUAGUUAUAAUGUUAUAGUGCUAUUAUACACUCAGGGUAGUUAUAGUGCUGUUAUACAGUCAGGGUAGUUAUAAUGUUAUAGAGCUGUUAUACAGUCAGGGUAGUUAUAAUGUUAUAGAGCUGGGGAAGCAGGAUGCUGGUGGUUCUGUAGACAGAGAUGAAUAAUGC